UGGGGAAUCUUGCACAAUGGGGGAAACCCUGAUGCAGCGACGCCGCGUGAACGAUGAAGCCCUUCGGGGUGUAAAGUUCUUUCGGCAGGAACGAUAAUGACGGUACCUGAAGAAGAAGCUGCGGCUAACUACGUGCCAGCAGCCGCGGUAAUACGUAGGCAGCAAACGUUGUUCGGAGUUACUGGGCGUAAAGAGUACGUAGGCGGUUUGCCAAGUUUGGUGUGAAAUCUCCUGGCUUAACUGGGAGGGUGCGCCGAAUACUGGCAGACUUGAGUAUUGGAGAGGAAAGCGGAAUUCCUGGUGUAGCGGUGAAAUGCGUAGAUAUCAGGAGGAACACCAGUGGCGAAGGCGCCACUCUGGGCCGUAACUGACGCUGAGGAGCGAAAGCGUGGGGAGCAAACAGGAUUAGAUACCCAAGUAGUCCCUGAGCGGGCUGGCAAGGCGCAU
rnacentral:rRNA from 1 species